rnacentral:rRNA from 1 species
CGGCUCAGUAACACGUGGAUAACCUACCCUUGAGACGGGGAUAAACCCGGGAAACUGGGUAUAAUACCCGAUAGAUCUCGACUGCUGGAAUGCAUCGAGCUUGAAAGCUCCGGCGCUCAAGGAUGGGUCUGCGGCCUAUCAGGUAGUAGUGGGUGUAGCGUACCUACUAGCCUACGACGGGUACGGGUUGUGAGAGCAAGAGCCCGGAGAUGGAUUCUGAGACACGAAUCCAGGCCCUACGGGGUGCAGCAGGCGCGAAAACUUUACAAUGCUGGAAAUAGCGAUAAGGGGACCUCGAGUGCCAGGUUACAAAUCUGGCUGUCGUGAUGCCUAAAAAGCAUUGCAUAGCAAGGGCCGGGCAAGACCGGUGCCAGCCGCCGCGGUAACACCGGCGGCUCGAGUGGUAACCGUUAUUAUUGGGUCUAAAGGGUCUGUAGCCGGCCGGAUAAGUCUCUUGGGAAAUCUGGCAGCUUAACUGUCAGGCUUUCAGGAGAUACUGUCUGGCUCGAGGCCGGGAGAGGUGAGAGGUACUUCAGGGGUAGGGGUGAAAUCUUGUAAUCCUUGAAGGACCACCAGUGGCGAAGGCGUCUCACCAGAACGGACCUGACGGCAAGGGACGAAAGCUAGGGGCACGAACCGGAUUAGAUACCCGGGUAGUCCUAGCCGUAAACGAUACUCGCUAGGUGUCGGCAACGGUGCGACCGUUGUCGG